GACAGUAGCCAGAGGGUUGUGGCUCAAUCCUGUGUAAGCUGAGAUCUUAAGGAUUCUAUUUGAAACCAGUUUAAAAAAAAAAAAGGCUGGAGACAUGGAUCAACUGUUAUGAGCACUCAGCUGAACAAGGAAAGCUAAGUAACCAUGAGGUAGGUCUUGAAUUCAUAAACCCCAGUACCACCACAAGUUCUAGGGACCUUAACUAUUGUUAGAACAAACAAGUCAUAAGCCAGCAUUUCAAAGAUGCCCAAAUUUCCUGUCAUCCUGCCUUUCCAUUUUUUAAAAUGAAACACAUAUAGGUUAUUCUGUUUUCUAACAGUAAGGUUUUUGUUAAAUAGACCAUCUUUCAAUUUUUUUGGGGGGGAGGGUCAGUCCUGGGGCUUGGACUCAGGGCCUGUGCAUUGUCC